UAGCUCAUUGGAGUCGGUCGCAUUAGGA
rnacentral:sRNA from 1 species